rnacentral:tRNA from 1 species
GCCUUUGUGGUGUAGUAUUCAGCAUCCUGGACGUGUAUUCGAGAGGUCCGUGGUUCGAUUCCCGGCGAGGGCA